rnacentral:rRNA from 1 species
CAGGUGUUGCAUGGCUGUCGUCAGCUCGUGCCGUGAGGUGUUAGGUUAAGUCCUGUAACGAGCGCAACCCCUGCCGUUAGUUACAUGUGUCUAACGGGACUGCCCGGCUCAACUGGGAGGAAGGUGGGGACGACGUCAAGUCAGCAUGGCCUUUAUAUCCUGGGCUACACACACGCUACAAUGGUCGGUACAAUGGGUCGCCAAGCCGCGAGGCGGAGCCAAUCCUCCAAAAACCGGCCUCAGUUCAGAUUGUAGGCUGCAACUCGCCUGCAUGAAGUUGGAGUUGCUAGUAACCGCGCGUCAGCUAUAGUGCGGUGAAUACGUUCCCGGGGCUU